ACCUCGUCGACAACGCCCUGAGCAAGAAGCCGCAGGUAGUGCAGAUCGAACCCACGGACAAGGCGUUCAAGACAACGGGCUGCCAGCCCUGGCAGCUGACGCCCGACGCCACUCCGCCGGCCAGCGCCCCGCCCGCGGCUGUGCAGGGCACGCUCGGCAUCCUCAACGGGCUGCUCGGCGGCCAGAAUG
rnacentral:ncRNA from 1 species